rnacentral:rRNA from 1 species
AUGGCAGCGGCUAGAAGAAGAAACCAUUGGAGGCUUGUCACUGCCCCCGUCCUGCUAGUGCUACUACUCGCCUCACCAUGCCGAUGCACAGGCGCUGCACCGGCGACGACGAUGAACGCCACCACAGACGACGACUUGCGAGCUCUCCUCUCCUUCAAGGCCCUCAUCAACGGCGACCCGGAGGGGGCGCUCUCCUCGUGGGUGAACACCAGCGACCCCUGCGGAGGCUGGCGGGGCGUGGGGUGCCACUCGCUCCGGCACCCUCGCCGCGUCACCAGCGUGGAGCUCACGUCCUCCGGCCUGUCCGGCACGGUGUCCCCCUACCUCGCCAACCUGACCUUCCUCCGCACGCUCAACCUGUCAGGCAACCUCCUCGCCGGCACCAUCCCACGGGAGCUCGGCUCCCUGCGUCGCCUCUCCGAGCUUGACCUUAGCGACAACAACCUGCAAGGUGAGAUCCCUUCGUCCCUCACGCGCUCCUCCAGACUUCGUGCACUACUUCUGGGGCGCAACAGCCUGGUGGGAGAGAUCCCCGCCAACUUGAGCCACUGUCGCCACCUCGAGGUCUUGGACGUUGGCGUCAACAACCUCACCGGCCAAGCUCAUCCACUGCUACUUGGCCUCGCCUCUCUCUCCAACCUCAAGAAGCUUCGCCUCUACACCAACAAUAUCGUGGGCACCAUCCCUUGCUCUCUUGGAAACCUUACAUCUCUAGUGAUUUUGAGCAUGGGUAGAAACAGAUUAGUAGGCGAGAUACCAGAAUCCUUUGGACAAAUGACCAAGUUGCGGUAUCUCCAUUUAGCCUUCAAUGAGCUCUCGGGCACCAUCCCGGCAUCCAUCUUUAACUUGUCUUCAAUCAGACAGAUCCAGCUGAGUCACAAUGAUUUGUCUGGUGUUAUCCCGAAUGAUGUUGGAUCUACUCUCCCAAACCUCGAGUUUUUGUUGCUCUAUUCUUGCAAUUUCCAUGGAAGGAUUCCCGGCUCAUUAGGAAAUGCUUCUCAACUCGUAAUGAUUGAACUUGCCAACAAUCAGCUCCAUGGAUCUGUGCCACUCAACAUUGGCAGCUUGAGAAACCUCGAGGUGCUGGCACUAGAGAAUAACCAGCUACUAGAAGCAAGUUGGCAAAAGGAUUGGGACCUACUGGCAUCCUUAGCAAACUGCACUCAGCUUUUCGCACUGGCCCUAUCCUCUAAGCGUUUCCGGGGUCCAUUUCCACCAUCCAUUGCGAAUCUAUCUUCAAUUGAGAUGAUGUAUCUCGAGGGUAACAGCAUAUAUGGCGAAAUCUCUCCAGAUAUCACAAAGCUUGAGAAACUUACCAACUUCCAAAUUGGUGGCAACUUGUUAACCGGCACAAUACCGGAAACAAUUGGGGAGCUUCACGACCUUCAAGUCCUAGAAUUAUUCGGGAACAACAUUCAGGGACUAAUCCCUUCUACAAUUGGUAACCUCACACGCCUGUUCCGUCUUGUCCUUUCUCACAAUAACUUGAUGGGAUCCAUUCCUACAAGUUUUGGAUGGCUGGACCGCAUGGCCAGUCUAGACUUAUCACACAACCAACUGAGAGGUACUAUACCAACACAACUAGUCAGCCUCACCUCUUUAACCAAGAAACUGGAUCUUUCUCAUAACUUUCUUCAUGGUCAAAUCCCAUUUGAGAUAGGAAGUUUAAUAAACCUGGUGCAGCUCGAUUUUUCAAACAAUAAACUAUCAGGAGAGAUUCCCUCACCUCUUGGAAAAUGUACUGAGCUUGCCAGUCUUGGUCUCCAAAAUAACAUCCUCACUGGUCGCAUCCCCCUAUCACUUGGUAGCUUGAAAGGGAUACAAGAAGUAGAUCUUUCAGGAAACAACUUGACUGGACAAAUUCCAACUUUCUUUGACUCCUUGCCCUUCUUGGUUUACAUGAAUAUCUCCUACAACAACCUUGACGGUCCCAUUCCAGUAAGUGGUGUCUUUAGCAAUGCAAGUAGAAUCUUCUUGGCCGGCAAUCAGGUGUGCGGUGGUAUUCCACAGUUACAUCUCCCACACUGCACUCCCAAAUCAUCCGAUGGUAAGAAGCAUACACCAAGGAGAUAUUUGCUCAUCAUCAUAUGCACUGUUUUCGGAGCAUUAUCAAUAUUUGUUAUGCUCUUCCUAUAUGGCAUGUGCCGGUGCUCUAAAAGGCAACAGGGGGAGGGGCUGCAACCACUUUCAGAGGAUAAUCAUUGGCAAGUCUCAUUCCUUGAUCUACAGAGAGCAACGAACCAUUUCUCUCCAGAUAGUCUUGUUGGGACGGGAAGUUUUGGAGCUGUGUACAGAGCAACUUUGCACAACAGGGAGGUUGCAAUAAAGGUGCUGAACCUUUUGCAACAAGGGGCCGAGGGAAGUUUCCUGCGCGAAUGUCAUGCCUUGAGAAGCAUGCGUCAUCGGAAUCUUGUAAAGAUCAUUACGGUGUGCACAAGUGUUGACCACCAAGGAAAUGAUUUCAAAGCUUUGGUGUAUGAGUUCAUGCGCAACGGGGACCUUGACAGUUGGCUACAUACAAGUCAAGUCAUGGAGGGUGAAGCACCAAGGAUGUUGACCAUGGUGCAAAGGGUGAACACUGCACUCGAUAUUGCCCAAGCACUUGAUUAUCUGCACAACCGGGGUCAAUCACCAAUUGUUCAUUGCGAUAUGAAGCCAAGCAAUGUGCUUCUAGACAAUGACAUGGUCGCACACGUAGGGGAUUUUGGGCUAUCACGAUUUGUUGAUAAGAUGAUGAACAGCGGCUCAACGGAGGAUCCAAAUGCUGGAAGAUCUUCUGGAAUUAGAGGAUCCAUCGGAUAUAUUGCUCCAGAAUACGGGAUGGGUGGGGAAGUCUCCAUUGAUGGUGAUGUAUACAGCUACGGAGUGAUCCUUCUUGAGAUGUUCACGGGAAAGAGUCCCACGGAUGGCAUGUUCCAAGGGGACCAUACUCUGCGAUUCUAUGUUGCGUCAAACUAUCCGGACAGAGUUACUGAAAUUGUUGACCCAGCAUUGUUACAAGCCGAGCAAUGCAGCGGAAUUACAAAGAGGAUACCAGAGGAUACCAGGUUACAAGGGUGCCUAGUGGCGGUCUUCCACGUUGGGUUACAAUGCACGGAGGAAUCACCAAGAACAAGAAUGAGCAUCAGAGAUGCCAUAAAUGAGCUGGUAAUGCUAAGAGAGAAAUUCAUUGAGUAA